rfam:Paenisporosarcina sp. HGH0030 genomic scaffold acAqH-supercont1.1, whole genome shotgun sequence.
CCGUGCUAGGUGGGAAGGUAGCGGUGUCUUGUAACUCGCAAUCCGCUCUAGCGAGACUGAACUCCUUCUCUGAGGCUGUUUAUAUGUAGGGUCUGACUUUUGCACGUAGUGUUGACGUCUGGGUCCUGCGCAAUGGGUAUCCAUGAAUCAGGUCAGGUCCGGAAGGAAGCAGCCUUAAGUGGACUUUUCUCAUGUGCCGCAGGGUAGCCUAGGCAGAGCUAACGACAGAGGUUCCGCUUAUGUAUAGCAGUCGAAGGAAGGUGCACGG